AUGGUAAUCAUAUGCCUCAUAAAGUCAAUAAUCACACUCUAUAGGGCUUGGGCGCCGCGUUGCAUUCUGGGACGUGGCGGCCAUGUUGAUGGCGUUGUGAAUGUAAACAUACAGCAAGUCGAACGAGAAGAAACAGAGUUGGGAGAAAGAAAAAAUAUGUUAAAAUCGCGAAAAGGUUGUGGUAUUUACAGGGAUACGCUAAGUAGGGAUGCCAGGGAUCGAUAUCUUCGGCUACCUUGUUUGUUUUGUGAGCGCCUACACUUCAGAACAGUUCCGAAGCUACAAGUCAUUGGAGUCUCAUGUGCAGUUCACAAAUGGAUGGGUUAAGGAGCUGCAGAUCAUAAAGCCGGCAAACAGUAUACAGUAAUCCGGACAAAGGUAAACUGCACUCCGCCUAGUUGCUAGUUUAGUAACCGUUAGUGCUAACAACCAUUCACAUGUUCUUUUAACUAACUUAUGUGUUUCAAAAGUUUAGUUAGUAGCUGUCAACCCUCCCAUUUUUUUCCGGGGUUCUCAUGUAUUUGAGCUCUUUUCCCGCUGUCUUCCCGAAUUUUUGCUUUCAGCAGAGGGACAGCAACAGAAAGAUGAAUGUAGAAAUUUUCCGUUUUUUUGGAUGAGUAGCCCAGGAAAUUUCCCUUAUUUUCAGUGUUUACUUAAGCUAUAUAAAUUAAUAUUCAGAUAUUAUACCUCACUUGGUCUCCGUGGUCGCGCCUCCAAGCAGGAAAGCAGUGGCAAGUUAAUCCAUUUUUUUUUCAAAGGACGAUUAUGUGUUGCGUUAUUACACCCCACAAUUCAGCAACGGUUUAUCAUGGUUGAAAUAGAUUUUUAAUUAAUCAAAUUAAGACACACGGCUGAGAGGGAGUAUGUCUAAACACUGCGCAGUAGUCCGAGUAGCAGUAAAGGAGGCCAUCAGCAUAGCGGCCACGCCAAGUAAUGACGUCACGACGCCCAAGCCCUAAUAGACGGCGUUCACAUUGAUAGCUGUGAUUACACAGUAAUAGCGUGCUGAUUUGCUUUCAAACAGAUGGUAAUCAUGCAGAUACAGGCACAUUCAACAUAAAACACAUUCACACAUAUAUAAAAAAUGUUGAAAAGGGCGAUCGCUAAGUUCCGCCUCCAUCAGAUGACAGGUGCGUCAGAGCGCGCGUCACGAGAGAGCGCCAGAAUUCAAAUAAACAAUCUUCCGCCAAAAAAACAAUCUUUUUUUCUUUUUGGUGGAUCGUAUUAUUCUGUUUGUGAUACUGUACGCUACAAAACCAUGCUGUUUUUUUACUACCAAGACACAGUUUCUGAGCGUGAGUUAUUCCAUAACGGACACAAACAAUUCUGUCCCUGAAGAACUGAAACGUAAACAAAGGAAUUAUCAUCCAUAUUACAACGUUAUUGCUUCGUUGGGCUAAAUGUGUUCCAUGAGAUUUCGUUCAGUGAACCCUUACCUUCCUAACUAAACCGGGAUUUACAGCUGUGGAUGUGUUUAUGACUCGUUGUUACGACGAAUCUGGUAUGUACUGCGUUUUUAUUCUAAAUGUUUUGAUGUGUACUGCUUACAAAUCUAGCAAAUACAUUCUUUAUAAGCUUUCCAUUGAAACACAGCGAUCUGUCGUCGAUG
ensembl:lncRNA